GACGAACGCUGGCGGCGUGCUUAACACAUGCAAGUAGAGCGGAGCGGCGAACGGGUGAGUAACGCGUGAGUAACUGCCCCCCUCUCUGGGAUAACAGUUGGAAACGGCUGCUAAUCCCGGAUAGUGAGGGAUGACUAGGGUCCAAUCCGCUUAUGGGUUGGGUAGUGGCCUAAGAAGGCGACGACGGGUAGCCGGCCUGAGAGGGCGACCGUCCACCUUGGGCUGAGAUACGGCCCAAACGCCUACUGGAGGCAGCAGGGGGGAAUAUUGCACAAUGGGGGAAACCCUGAUGCAGCAACGCGCGGGCGGGAUGACGGCCUUCGGGUUGUAAACCGCUUUCAGCCAUGACGCGGUAGUGGCAGAAGAAGCACCGGCUAACUACGUGCCAGCAGCCGCGGUAAUUC
rnacentral:rRNA from 1 species